GAUUGGCUGCCCCUCCGCAUCCCUAAUGUAAUUAAAACAAGGGGGGGAAAAUUAUCAUGGAGGCAGAGGUUAAUGCAAGUGUUUAGCAGAUGCCUUAUAGUAAAAUCUACAUUAAAAAAGAUAUUAAAAAAAGCAAUAACAACCCCCCCUACAAACUAAUUAAAACUUAAAUAUCGGAUAAUCUCAAAACAGCUUGCUGCCUGCGCCUAUGCAUCUCCACCCGUGUUCACCCAAGUGAUUUAAGCGCCUGAAAUGGGUUUCGUGCCUCUUUAACUGUUAUGAUCGGAAAGUUAAGAAACCGGAAAAUGGAGAACUGAGUGUCAUGUACCUCCCCAGACCUGCUGGAAAACGGAGCCGCGGCCAAAACCUGGGGGUGUAAAUUCGACAACAAAAAUAAACAUUUUA